rnacentral:rRNA from 1 species
CAGCCGCCACGGUAAUACGGAGGAUCCAAGCGUUAUCCGGAUUUAUCGGGUUUAAAGGGUGCGUAGGUGGCCUGUUAAGUCAGGGGUGAAAGACGGUAGCUCAACUAUCGCAGUGCCUUUGAUACUGACGGGCUUGAAUGAACUAGAGGUAGGCGGUAUGUGACAAGUAGCGGUGAAAUGCAUAGAUAUGUCACAGAACACCAAUUGCGAAGGCAGCUUACUAUGGUUUUAUUGACACUGAGGCACGAAAGCGUGGGGAUCAAACAGGAUUAGAUACCCCAGUAGUCCCUGUCUCUUAUAA